UANGUNGUAGACUGCUCAUGAUUAUUAAAUAGCCGCAUUUGUGCUAAGGUAGCAUAAUCACUUGUCUUUUAAAUGAGGACUAGAACAAAAGAUCUAACAUUUUAAUUUAUAUCUAUAGUAUACAAUUUAAACUUACUUUAAAUGUAAAAAAGCAUUUAUAUAAAAGAAAGACGACAAGACCCUGUUGAACUUAACUUUAGUUUUACUGGGGCAGUAAAUUAAUUAAUAUUUUAACUUAAAUACUUAAAUAAAUAUCCAAUUUGUUUGAAUAAUUCAGUUACCACAGGGAUAACAGCGUAAUUAAAUUCACGAGACCUUAUCUAAAAAAUAGAUUGCGACCUCGAUGUUGAAUUAAUAACCUAAUAUAAGCAAAAGUUUAAUAAGGAAGUCUGUUCGACUUUUAAAAAGUUACAUGAUCUGAGUUCAAACCGGAGA
rnacentral:rRNA from 1 species